rfam:Felis catus isolate Cinnamon breed Abyssinian chromosome X, whole genome shotgun sequence.
GCCUGGGUGGCUCAGUCGGUUGAGCGUCUGACUUCGGCUCAGGUCGUGACCUCGCGGUCCGUGAGUUCGAGCCCCGCGUCGGGCU